CCGGCCUCCCGCCGCCCCCCGCGAGUCUGCCACCGCCGGCGGGAGCCCGGGACCCUCACGCCCAGCGUGGUGGAGAAAAAAAGGACAAUUCCAGCUAUUGAUUUGCAGCCUCAAACUUGUAAAAAGAAAGAAGCGACCUUGACAAAAGGAAAACGCUGCAGUUUCUUUUCUUGCCAAGGCAGAACACAAUUUCAUCUUUUGUGUACAGGGCCUGGGCAACGGUUGCAAAUUAUCAUUUGCUUACUCUUUCAGAGACUGUGGCAAAGCGUGUGAUUGACAAGCUCUGCUAGAAAGGGCCUUGGUUGGUAGUGUUUGCAUCUGGCUCCGACAGAGUCUGCAGAAGGAUGUUUGAGAAGAAUGGAAAGUAUUCAGGCACACCGCAGAUGCCGCGGGCCGUCUGGGGGGGAACCUGAGACAAUCACCUUUGGAGUUCUUACUUUUGUGUUCCGUCCAGAAUGCCGCAGAAGGGGUGCACCUGCCGUUCACUGGAGGCUGCAGCAGCGAGCCGGUGACUCUUCCCCCUGCAGAUUAGAGAGACAUUAUUCAGCUCACAAAUCACCAUCAUCAUCAUCACCAGUCUGUGCUCAUGGAGGCACACCCGAAAUAGGAAUAAAGCAUAUGUAUUAAUGGGAGCGUUGGAAAUAGGCAGAUAGAGGAAAGGGGACUAAUACAAAGUCAAUUUAAAGGGUAUGGAAUAAUCCAGUGAGUUACAGUGUAAAUGGCCAAACACAUCAUUAAAACUGCUUCAUUUUUAAAGG